rnacentral:rRNA from 1 species
UACGUAGGGUGCAAGCGUUAAUCGGAAUUACUGGGCGUAAAGCGUGCGCAGGCGGUUGGGCAAGACAGAUGUGAAAUCCCCGGGCUUAACCUGGGAACUGCAUUUGUGACUGCAAGGCUGGAGUGCGGCAGAGGGGGAUGGAAUUCCGCGUGUAGCAGUGAAAUGCGUAGAUAUGCGGAGGAACACCGAUGGCGAAGGCAAUCCCCUGGGCCUGCACUGACGCUCAUGCACGAAAGCGUGGGGAGCAAACAGG